rnacentral:hammerhead_ribozyme from 1 species
AUCCAGUUGACGAGUCCCAAAUAGGACGAAAUGCGCUAUAUCCUGCAU